AGAGUUUGAUCAUGGCUCAGAUUGAACGCUGGCGGCAGGCCUAACACAUGCAAGUCGAGCGGUAGCACAGAGAGCUUGCUCUCGGGUGACGAGCGGCGGACGGGUGAGUAAUGUCUGGGAAACUGCCUGAUGGAGGGGGAUAACUACUGGAAACGGUAGCUAAUACCGCAUAACGUCGCAAGACCAAAGCGGGGGACCUCCGGGCCUCGCGCCAUCAGAUGAACCCAUAUGGGAUUAGCUAGUAGGUAAGGUAACGGCUUACCUAGGCGACGAUCCCUAGCUGGUCUGAGAGGAUGAUCAGCCACACUGGGACUGAGACACGGCCCAGACUCCUACGGGAGGCAGCAGUGGGGAAUAUUGCACAAUGGGCGCAAGCCUGAUGCAGCCAUGCCGCGUGUAUGAAGAAGGCCUUCGGGUUGUAAAGUACUUUCAGCGAGGAGGAAGGCGAUAAGGUUAAUAACCUUGUCGAUUGACGUUACUCGCAGAAGAAGCACCGGCUAACUCCGUGCCAGCAGCCGCGGUAAUUC
rnacentral:rRNA from 1 species